GAGGAUGCGAGCGUUAUCCGGAUUUAUUGGGUUUAAAGGGUGCGUAGGCGGGCCGGUAAGUCAGCGGUAAAAAUGCGGAGCUCAACUCCGUCGAGCCGUUGAAACUGCCGUUCUUGAGUGAGCGAGAAGUAUGCGGAAUGCGUGGUGUAGCGGUGAAAUGCAUAGAUAUCACGCAGAACUCCGAUUGCGAAGGCAGCAUACCGGCGCUCAACUGACGCUGAAGCACGAAGGCGUGGGUAUCGAAC
rnacentral:rRNA from 1 species